UCCUCGCUCAAAGAAUCGCAUUCAAAGCUUACGCUCAGAGCCUUUCACUCUCAUCUGAGGUGAUUGCUCAUACCAUAUCUAGCUUUGGGAGAAAGUCCCCGGACGUCCUGCACAAUCUAUCGUGUCAGGCAAUGCGGAAACGCGCCGCCAUAAAAGCAAUUGAUAGCGGCUUACGUCUCUCCUUGCCUCUCGCCCUUUCAGACUCGACCCUAGCCGUAUGAGCCGUCUGUACUCUUCUCCGCUAUCUCGUCGCUCCUGUUGGACUAGGCUUCGUUGGGUUUACUUCGAGACCACCCUGCCGUUUCGGCGGAAGGGACAGGGACGAUGAUAUGAGUCCGCGCUCGAGGUAACCCUAUCAAAGUUGUUGGUCCUCUGGGUGCUUUGUGGAUACUGGGGAGGAGGAGGCUUCUAGGGGAACGGAUGGAGUCUGUUUGGUGAGGUUCAGGUAGGAGGUGAUUGCUCUUCGUCGUGGUUGGAUAGCUAUGCGAUUGUCUUGUCGGCCUGGGAUCGUAUGGUUCUAAGUUCGAUGGAUAACUCGAUGGGGCUUAUUCUUGAGGCGAGG
rnacentral:RNase_MRP_RNA from 2 species